rnacentral:rRNA from 1 species
AUUGAACGCUGGCGGCAGGCUUAACACAUGCAAGUCGAGCGAGCGGCGGACGGGUGAGUAAUGUCUGGGAAACUGCCUGAUGGAGGGGGAUAACUACUGGAAACGGUAGCUAAUACCGCAUACCAUCAGAUGUGCCCAGAUGGGAUUAGCUAGUAGGUGGGGUAAUGGCUCACCUAUGCGACGAUCCCUAUCUGGUCUGAAAGGAUGACGAGCCACACGGAAGCUGUGACACGGGCCAGACUCCUACGGAAGGCAGCAGUGGGGAAUAUUGCACAAUGGGCGCAAUCCUGAUGCAGCCAUGCCGCGUGAGUGAAGAAGGCCUUCGGGUUGUAAAGCACUUUCAGCGAGGAGGCGUUACUCGCAGAAGAAGCACCGGCUAACUCCGAGCCAGCCGCCGCGGUAAUUC